rnacentral:lncRNA from 1 species
AAGGAAAGCCAGAGGAUUGUGGGGAAUGAGAGGCCACAGCGGAUUCCAAGUGGAAAGAACGAGUCCAGUCUGUUGUUUGCAUUAGAGAGCAGGCUUGAGGAAAACGUGGAGAGAGAAGAGGGUAUGUUGGCGUUUAGAAUUGCGGCAGUUGGACAAGGAGACAAAUUUGGGAUCCUACGAAUAUAUGAUUGUAUCUUGAUAUUUUUUAAAAAUUUAAGAGUUCUUGAAAAAUAUAUUUUUGUCGAUAUUAUUUGUCAGUGAUGAUCGUAUUGGUGGUGUCUUAUCCACUUGAAAUGAGUUUGUUGUAAUUCAUACUUACUAAUUGCCUGCUUAUCUAAAAAUCCCAUGGGAUUAGAAUUUUAAUUGAUUUUUGAAACAAAGUGUAAGAAAAAAGUCUAGCUAUUCUGAUAGGGAAAAAAAAAAAACUCUCAUCAUGGUUGGGAAAAGGCUGUCAAACUUAAUAUUUGUAAGUUGGCUAAACAAAAAAAAUGAAGGAUGGAAAAAGUGAAAAAUAAACUUAUCCAGUUAUCCACUCAUAUGCAUCAUACAUACCUAAUACUAGUAUUAGCAAUUUAUUAUGAUAUAUAAGGUAGGUAGUAUAUGACAUUGAAUUUAUUUAUUUUUUUUAGUAUUUCUAUUUGCUAAUAUGAUAUCACUGUCUUAAUUCUCUCUUCUAAGAUAAACAAAUAUAUAAUAGGAUUUUUUUUGGCAAAGCUUAAGACAUUGCUGAACAAUGGCACACUGAUUUAUUAAAUCGAGACUGUACAAUUUGCACGAGCUUUACUAAUUAUUUUUUACACGAAAAAUACUUGAAAACUGAAGUUAAUUUUUUUUUCUUUUUUACAUUUGGUUAAUGGAAAUGCCUCUUCUCAUGCAAAACCUCCUUGAAAUGGUCUAAAUCCUAUGAACCGCAAGGAUAAAGUUGACAAUUGGCAACCAAAUUAUCAAUGGAAACCCUGUAUUGCACUUAAAACCCGGUUGAUUCCUUUUCAGGGUAGUUGUUGGGGAAACGUUGCAGCACUCUUUGUUAAUUGGGUUUCUUGUAGGACUAAUUUGAGUUUGCAAGCUUAAUCAACCUUGCAUUGGAAGGGCCGGCCCAAGCCUAGGCGGUCGCCCAAGGCUCCGGCCCAAAGAAAGGCCCCGCCCGAUAGUGACUCCUAUCUCCUAGCUGCAGUGGUCCGUAAAGGUUGAGGCGCAGAGACAAUGGCUACCUCGACAAGACGAUUGAGCCACUGAGGGUGAGUCGCCGCGAUGCCGUCCCAAUCCUAUCGCGGCAUUGCCCAUCGUCCCUUUCUUGAAAAUCCUCAUCGUCUUCCACUCCUCAAUCCUCAUCGUCCUCCUGACUCCUGACCUCCUCUUCUGCAGAUCUGCUUCAGUCUUCGGCUCUUCGCCGACCGCUCGCCGGCGCGGUCGUCUCCUCCACCUCCCCGGCAUCCCCCGGCCGCAGAACCGCCCGUGCCCACCUUGAUCUCCCGCAACCUCCUCGCCUCCCUCCCGUCCCCUGAGUCCCUGACUCCCNNN